GAGAACUUGUGGCCUUCCUUCAAUUUGUAUUGAUACUUGUAAAAUUUGUUAUCUAGAUUAUUUUUUUAUCAAUAGAAGAUAUAUAGAUUUAUUUGUUAUAAUUUUUUUUAGUGGAAGUAUAUAAGGACAUAGUAUAUAAAGUGUUAAUUCAACACAAAACCUAACUCAGAAGCAUAAUCUUCUUUAUUUUUGGUUUGAUUUAGUCACACCCAAGUCAGAAAUGGCAUUAUCUUAACUCUCAUUUCUUUUUCUUUUUUUUUAUGGUAAUGUUUCUUGGGCUUUUAAUGGGUCCCUGAGUUGUUUUCUUGUCAUUUUUAUACAUUUAUUUGUUAGGGAGUUUCACCAAAUUCGAAAUCACAAGUGAAAGCUAUGUGCAAUCAGAUUUGUAAUGCUCAUCAGGCACCAAGUUUGCAACCUUUGCCUUUUGAACAUGUUCAUUCAAAAGAAGCUAACAUAUUUGCCUGCAGCAAUCUCUGUUUCCCAUUUUUGGUGUAGCCAAAAUAAGAAGAAACUAUAUGCCUUUGUCAUGGCCCUUUUUUUAAAGUUAGUUUUAAGCUGAUAAUUUGAAUAUUCAUAAAUUUGUGAUUAAAGUUAGUUUAGUUUCAUUGCCUUAACUUUCGAUUAAAUCUAGUGUUGCAAAUUGAUGAUGGCUUUUAACUCAUCCAUGAAUUUUUACUCUCCAAUUUCGUGGACAAGAAAUUUAUCAUAUGAUUUAGUUUAUGAGAAGUUUUAGUUAGUUAUUGCUUCAAAAUCUGGAAACUGACCUGCUUAAUCUGUACUAGUUUUAUCUAUUAUUGAACCAUUAUAGAUCAUUAUUAUUUGCCAAAACAAAAUAUCCUAACACCAUCAACUAAAUGGAAAUACUAUAUAGCACAUUUGCUUCUUUUACAGUUUGAUCAUUAUUUUUAGGUGCAAUAAAAUAAAGAAGAGUACAAGUCUAAUAUUGACACCAAAGGCUCAAAAGCUAGAACUUAAGAGGGACAUCAAUAUAUUGAAUAGCUUUACCUGACGCCUAUUAGGAAGAAAACCGGGACAGUCAUAUUGAAUUUUAUUGCCAGUUGAAUCCGCAGCCUGUAUAAGAGUAGCCUUCUGCUUUGUGAGUGACAAUGAAGACUGUAACAUCAGCAGCAUAUUUGAAGAAGCUUGUGAUUUUAUAGCUUAUGUUGAGCAGAUUGGUCAGAGAGUUAUAGUGAAGGAAGCUCUAUGUUCUUAAUAAUGGGAGAUGACUCUUCUACCGAACAGUUGGAAGAAGAAGAAGAAGAAGAAGAAGGUUGGCGUGUUGUUAGGAACCAUGAAGGUUUGAAUCCAGACACAUAUUGGAAGGCUUUUAUGACAAGCUCGUGGUCUCUGUUGUUGUUGUUGCUGCAUGACGAAGAAGAUUCCACGAGAGAAAACAGAGCAAGGAGAAUCAAGAAUCUGUAAAAGAAGGGCUUCAUGAUGAGUUUGUUAAUUAAUGGAAGUUGUACCUAUGGGUCGUUGACUGUUGAGCAUCAUGACUCAUGAGCUUCAAAAAUCAACCGUUUUUUUAUGAUCACCGCUUUCACCACAUUUCCUCUUGCACCCGUUGAUUGUGACCCCUUUUUUGUUUUCAUUAUCCCCUUUUAUUUUUCAAAAUUGUGGUUGUUUUCUUACAGUAUUCUAACCUCAUUCAUGUUGGUUUGAGUAAACAAUGAUUUUAUAUUGGAAAAAUAUAUAAAAUCUUAAGAUUUUUGAGUAGUGCUAGGGAGCCAAUGGCCUAAGUGUACAAUGUGUGGGCUAAAUCUUUGGUUUAUGAAUCAAAU